rnacentral:lncRNA from 1 species
AAAUGUUUGAAUAAUGUUUAAAAAUAUCUGUUUAGAAUAUGACUUUUCAUGGGGUUGGGCUCGUACCCUAAGUGGUAGGGUGUGGAUUUGGUGUCCAUGACCGUUGGGAACUACCUAUUCUCUGAAUGGCACGGGUGGGUCAAGGUUAGAGGCAAACAGCUCCAACGUGGUCUUUGUGAAGUGUCCCUGUGGCAUCUGGCACCAAGAUUUAAACAGCAGAUUCCUCUAAAUUGUAAAAUGAAGCCGCCAUUGAUCGGAUUGGUCCACAUCCCACAGAUGCUCAAUUCGUUUGACAUGUGAUUGAUCUGGGGGCCAGGGUAACACUUUGAAUUCUUCUUUGUGUUCCUCAACCCAUUCCUGGACAAUGUAGCAGGGUACAGAAACCACUUCCAUCACGGAAUGCCAUUUCCAGCAAAGGGGUGUAUAACUGGUUCACAAAGACUAGGUAGGUGGAACGUGUCAAAUUGAUAUCCACAUAAAUGUCAUACCCAAUAUUUACCAGCAGAACAUUGCCCAGUACAUCACCCCGCUACAGGCACUACAUGGGGUCCUACAUCAGAACAUUGACCAGUACAUCACCCCGCUACAGGCACUAAAUGGGGUCCUUCAUCAGAUCAUUGACCAGUACAUCACCCCGCUACAGGCACUAAAUGGAGAACAUUGCCCAGUACAUCACACCGCUACAGGCACUACAUGGGGUCCUACAUCAGAACAUUGCCCAGUACAUCACACCGCUACAGGCACUAAAUGCAGAACAUUGCCCAGUACAUCACACCGCUACAGGCACUACAUGGGGUCCUACAUCAGAACAUUGACCAGUACAUCACCCCGCUACAGGCACUAAAUGGGGUCCUUCAUCAGAUCAUUGACCAGUACAUCACCCCGCUACAGGCACUAAAUGGGGUCCUUCAUCAGAUCAUUGACCAGUACAUCUCACCGCUACAGGCACUAAAUGGGCUCCUACAUCAGAGGCCGGAAGAAGACACUGUACAGUCAUUUUCUACAGUUUCUUUACAGUUACAGUUCUUUACAGGUGUAUCUUUGUAGGGAUCCCAUAUAGUAAGUUAUCGGUUUUAGCGCUCUUUAGCGUAACUCAAUACUGGACCAAUUUUGAUCGUUAAUUGUCCCUAGUAAAUAUUUUGACCCAAAAAGAUCUAAAAAUAGGACCCAAGUUAAAAAAAAAACAAAGAUUACCUUCCCUAGAGAAAACUAGACCCAUCCAAACAGACAACCUUCUUCCAUUGCUCCCGGGUCCAGUUCUGAUGAUGGCGUGCCCAUUGUAGGCACAGUGGACAGGGUUUGGCAUUGGUACUCUGAACUGUCAGCAGCCAUGCAGCUCCAAACCCAAACGUCCUCCCGUAACCAUCAUUAUAAUGUGCUGUGCCCUGUGUCACUGUAACGUCCUCCCGUAACCAUCAUUAUAAUGUGCUGUGCCCUGUGUCCUGUGUCACUGUAACGUCCUCCCGUAACCAUCAUUAUAAUGUGCUGUGCCCUGUGUCACUGUAACGUCCUCCCGUAACCAUCAUUAUAAUGUGCUGUGCCCUGUGUCACUGUAACGUCCUCCCGUAACCAUCAUUAUAAUGUGCUGUGCCCUGUGCCCUGUGCCACUGUAACCCUCCAGUGAGAUCAAACCAGAUGAGAGACAACCUUGGUUACCCUCAUGUAUCAACAAGCUUUGGGACCCUAACACCCUGUCGCCUGAUUACAGUUUGACCGUUCUCAGACCAUAACUGGUAGGUAGGCCUACUCACCACUGCUGACCAGGAGCUCCCUAAAUGACUUGCAGUUUUGGACAUUUGCCAACCCAGUCAACUAGCCAUA